GGCGACUGUGCAUAUACUUGACAACUAAAAACAAAAGGAGAAAUGUUUCCUCUUUUGCAUUUGAGCAUGGAAGAAGGGAACAUGGGAAGAGAGUGAGGAAGCAAAAAGAAGGAAAGAAGGGAAGGAAGAAGAAAGGAGAAUGAAGAAGAAAAGGAAGGAAGAAGAUUAUAAUGAGAGGGAGGGAAGAUCUGAAGGAAGUCUUGCCUCACCACUUGGCCAUUACAGGUUCCUGUUCUUUUCACACACCUCCAGAGGAUUACAUUUAUCCCCUGCCUUUGCCAGAAAGCAUCUCCUUCCUUCCACCUGUUCCCACGAAGGAUUCCAGCCAUAAGAGGACCGGAUCACACAAUCCUUCUUCGGUCUAUUGCAGAGGAGAAUGGCUUAUGGGCAGAAAUGUCUUGAUGUCCCAGUUUGAAGCAACUGUCAGGUGAAAGGAUGGCUAUCUCCUUAUCCCUUUCCUCCCAUCUCCUAGUGGUAGAAAGAGUAGCUACCAGGAGUCAGUGAGUUCAGGCAAGAGUCAAGAAACCUCCCCCAACCCAUCAAGGGUCAAUUUAGUGACCAAUCAGGAUUACAGAUAUGGUCACAUGACAUGGCCUACAUUUCCCAGGAUACCUUAACUACAUUUACCAUUAUGCAUUUCCUUAAGGGAACAGCUCACAAAUCCAAACUAACUAUCCAAUUCCCAUACACUGGCUGGAAAACACAGAGGGGGACGAUGAAGCGGAGGAGGAGGAAGAUGAGGAGGAGAAAGAUAAAGAGGAGGAAGAUAAAGAAGAGGAAGAUAAGGAGGAGGAAGAGGAAAAAGAGGAGGAGGAAGAGACAAUGAUGGUGAUGUUAGAUGAAUUUUCUGGAAUAGGAAAACUCUUCUGGAUUUUCUGGAAUAUGAAACUCUUCUCCAUUUUUCAAGAGGAUUGCGAUCAUUCCAGACGCCCCUCAGUUGUCUCUUUUGCCAGUCUGCAGCCAAGCCAGCUGUCCUUCACUCUAAGGACCCCACAGUGUCCCAAGGCUACCUCCUUCUUCCCAGGGCAACUUUGCAAUCAUAUCACACUAGCUUUUCUUCUUUAAAGUACAAGACAUUUCAAAAAAGGCCCACCCAAAGGUAUUCUGAAACACUGGGGUGGAGGGAGGUGAACAACUGAACAUAAAAUGAGCCUUUGGCUCAAAAAGUGGCCUGUAACUGGCAGAAUGGAAAUGGGGUAGGAGGUUGGUCUCACUGAGUAGACAGGUAAACAUCACAAUCGCCUUUGUAUAAAAUCAGGUAAUUUUCUAGGGAACUUUGCCUUUUGGUUUAAGACCCCCCACCCCACCAGCUUCUGCCAAGGCUGAAUCUCAUAACAGCGUAGGAAGUUAGCACCCACCCCUGUCCUAGAAAAAUGAAAUAUCCUCGGAAAUAUUAAAAAGGCAGAAUAUUUCCCUUAAAAAGAGUAGAAACUGAGAAGCAGAAACUCACCUCAGAAGUUCAUCCUCACCUUUGUUAAUGGGUGAAGGCCUGGGCCAGAAUAUUUUACAUAACAAAGAUCUCCAGGUAGAGCUAUAGGAAUUGCCCAAAGCCCUUUCAUUACAUCAUCAUCCAGCAAGGCUCAACCAAGCUUGGAACUCAGGUGAAUCCAUGUGGUCCAGACAAAGCCUACAAAAUGAGCUAAGACUCCUGUUCUUGGGAGUCUGACAGCCAAUGGGAUACAUUUCUUGCACAGGGACAGGAAACACUAAGGUGGGGCCCAACAGAGGGUAUAUAAGGGUCUCUCAACAUCUUGAUCCUUGUUCCCUUCUCACCUUGAAGCAUGGGAUCAUCCUUCCUUCUUUGGAGCUCCAAACCAUGUGGUCCUGUCCAUCAUAAAGCCAUCUUUCCAAACGAGCCUCCAUGUUUCCAGUGUCUUUUUCCCCACUUGGAACUGAACCCAGAAGGAUAAUUCUUCCAACAACAGAUUCCUUCCUUUGGGGAAAAAAACAUUUCUGUUUUUCUAAUUGUCCCCAGGGUGCAUGCAGUUUUCUUUUUGGGCUGCUCUUGGUGGUAUUUUGGAGCUGAAUUUUCUGGGAGAUGGGGCAGAAGGCUUUCUGCUCUACAACUUUGCAUCCUUCUGAAGUUCCUGGUUGGCCUUGUCCUCCCACUGGGAAAAACAACAACAAAUAAGGCAGGCAACGGACUUUCUAGUUUUCUAAAUAAAAAAUACGGAUAUUUUCACUCCUUUUUUCUUUCUUAGAAUCAUUGCAUAAUUCAGAUAGGUUUCCUUGAAAAAAUAAAAUAGGAAAUGUAAAGGCUCCUUCAUCAACCUCAGUGUGUGAACAGGUAAGAAAGAAAUACUUGGAGAGAUUUAUUUUCUCUAUCCUGACAGCUCUGAUAUCUGCUGUUGUAUCUUUAAUACCUUUAUUUCAGUAGCUUAGAAGAACAGGAGUUUUUGUAGGAGGAAAAAGGUGUUAAAUUUCAAAUCCAUUUCAUGGAUACCACCUGGAAUAAUUAACUAAGCCUUUUCUUGGAAUUUAAGAAUUAAAGGCUGACAUGAAAAAAAGAACAAUGUUCUUUUGAACAACAGACAUUUUGUCUCUCAAAGGGGGAGAAUAUCAGAAACAACUUCUAGAUUCUUGGUUGAUUUGCAGUACAUAGAACAGAAAGAAAGAUUUGAAUAUUUGUUCAAAUGCAAAAUCUUGUGCUGGGCUUCUUCUCAGAGACUUUUCAGUUCCUGGAAUUUUGGAGGAAGAGAGGUGAGGUUCCGAUGAGUAUAUUUUGGAUUUUGAGGAAAACCUUUAUUGGGAAAUGGCUGCUGGAGUUGGCUUGCUCAUUGACCAAAUGCCUGCUGUCUGAGACAAAACCAGCUACAAGGCAGCAAUCAGUCAGGGAACUGAUCUUGCCUUUACUCCAUACCCAUUGUCAGGCUUGUCUCAUCUUGAGCAUUUAGGAAAGAAAGACCCUCGAUUCCAUUUGGGUGACGUGAUAGGCUCUUUUAUUAAAGUUAAGUGGUUGCAGCAAAAGUAAAGCUGGAUCUGAAUGAAUAUUCCCAUGCACUUUCCCCCCUUUCCAUGGCCCUCCCCCUUGACCAGUCCAUCAGUGUCCAAUAGGAUGCUUUUUGGAUAUUUUGGGAAUGGCUCAGAUGUUUGGCGUCUCUCACUUCAGUUUUGCUUUUGGUUCCCAGGCCAGGUGUCCUUGGUGGCUGGUAUAUUCUGGUUUGACACCUCUGGUUCUCAUCCACCAUCUGUGACAAAAUCAGCUACAAAGCACAACUGAUCAAGGAACUGAUCUUGCCUUUACUUCAUAUACACUGUCAGGCUUGUCUCAUCUUGGGCAUUUAGGAAAGAAAGACCCUUGAUGCCAUUUGCAGUGAAAGAUAUACUUUUACUAAAGCCAAGAGGUUACAACAUAAGCAAAGCUGAAUCUGAGGAUUCCUGCCCCAAAACCUGCCUUUUCCCCUUCUUCCAGGCCCUCCCCUCUUGGCCAGUCCACACGUGUCAAUAAUAUUCAAAUUUGGUGCUUUGGUAACAGUUUUGAGGUUGUUGAAAUUUUGCAUUCUGUUCUCCACUCACGUCCUUGGAUGUGCCGGUCUGUUCAGCAUUGGCACCUCUGGUUCCUGUCAUCCUGUUAUCCUUCCCCCUUGCAUUCCCAUUAUCCCCCACUCCUUGUGUUUUAUGGCAGGAUGCCAGUGAAGCGAACAGGCUGAGGCAUUUACAAUGGCAGACCUGACCCCUACCUUUCUAUAUUUCUGCUCAGGUACAAUAGAUGUUAUUCCACCUUUAAGAAAUUUUAGGGGACUAGAAAGAUAUUGGGGACCCUAACCUUGUCAACCAGCGGUGGGCUUCUGAGGGUUCACAGGAAUUCAGGAGAGCCCCUAACUAAGAUUCUGCACAGUUUGAAGAACCCCCAAAUCCCACUCCUGGCUGGCUCCACCAACCCCUCCCUGCCUCUCCCAGGAGUCCCCAAGUGGCCUCUUUUGGAUGCAGGUAAGUGCAGGGCAUGCACAGAGGCUCAGGGAGGGUAAAAACAGACCUCCCAGAAGUUUGCUUCCAGAGAGCCUCCGGAGCCCGGGGAGGCUGUUUUCACUCUCCCAGAGGCUCAAGGAAAGCCUCAGGAGCCCGGGGAGGGCAAAACACCCCUCCCCACCAUGAUGCCAGAGGCUCACUAGGCCACGCCCACCAUUGCCACACCCACUGUUAGGAAUGAUAGCCACCAGCCCACUAACAGUUGGGUUGGCAAUAUAUAAAGCAGGCUAGUCAUUUAAUACUGUGGUAUCUUUAAGAGAAUGUUGUAAUUGUGAUUGGCUGGGGUUCCUCCAAUGGCCAUAAAAUGGAGCCAGAAACCUGGUUUGUUGAGGUUUUUUUGCAUUUCCUUUGCUUUCCUUUUGCCUUUUGCCUGAUCGUCAUUCUACUUGAACUGCUGUGAAUCUUGCAACUAUUAGCAAAUUCCAUUUCCUGAACUUUGUUUAUAAUACUGGUAAAGAAAAGGAUUUCAUUUUUGGAUUAUCCCUGGACUGAUUAUUUUGAAUACUAACUGCUUUAACUGUGUAUGAUUUGGAUUGUUUGUUGGACUUUGUUUACCCAUUUAC
ensembl:lncRNA